GGAUCUGUAGCUCAGCUGGUUUAGAGCGCUCGCCUGAUAAGCGGGAGGUCCCUGGUUCGAAUCCAGGCAGGUCCA
rnacentral:tRNA from 2 species